AUUAGCAAAAGAAGAGAAGCAUUAUCCCAUCAGAGUAGUCACUCCUGAUAAUCAUUAUAUCUACCCCAUAAGGAUAGAUGGUCACUGUCCCUAGGAUCUCCCAGAAUCAGGAAUGUGUGAUCCCGAUUGUGAUUGUUGUGACAAUUUUUGAAAAAAUGAGUACGACCAUCUCCUUUCAGAAAAGAAUUGGAGAAAACUGAAGAAAUAUAGCACAGUUUCUUGCAAGCCUAUGCAGCCUUUCAGACAAGACCAUCCAAAUGGUAACCCUUGGAUAGGAAUUCAUGAAGAAACUAAGCGAAAGAAACCCCUUCAUAUUUAUGAGCUUGCACUGGAGAUGCUCAGAAAGGAAGAAAGGAAGAACAGUAUACUGAUAUUGGGCCGUGGGUAUGCCAUAUGCGGUUUUGGGCUAAUCUGCGGGCUGGAUACCCAAUUGCCAGAAACCUGCUUUAAGGUCA
rnacentral:misc_RNA from 1 species